rnacentral:rRNA from 1 species
UACGUGGGGUGCAAGCGUUGUCCGGAAUUAUUGGGCGUAAAGAGCUCGUAGGCGGUUUGUCGCGUCUGCUGUGAAAACGCGAGGCUCAACCUCGCGCCUGCAGUGGGUACGGGCAGACUAGAGUGCGGUAGGGGAGAUUGGAAUUCCUGGUGUAGCGGUGGAAUGCGCAGAUAUCAGGAGGAACACCGAUGGCGAAGGCAGAUCUCUGGGCCGUAACUGACGCUGAGGAGCGAAAGCGUGGGGAGCGAACAGG